rnacentral:rRNA from 1 species
UACAGAGGGUGCGAGCGUUAAUCGGAAUUAUUGGGCGUAAAGAGCUCGUAGGCGGUCUGUCGCGUCUGCUGUGAAAACUCAGGGCUUAACCCUGAGCUUGCAGUGGGUACGGGCAGACUAGAGUGGCGGUAGGGGAGACUGGAAUUCCGUGGUGAUAGCGGUGAAAUGCGCAGAUAUCAGGAGGAACACCGGUGGCGAAGGCGGGUCUCUGGGCCGUAACUGGAACGCUGGAGGAAGCGAAAGCAUCGGGGAGCGAACAGG